rnacentral:misc_RNA from 1 species
GAUGAAGAACGUAGCGAAAUGCGAUAAGUAGUGUGAAUUGCAGAAUUCAGUGAAUCUUCGAAUCUUUGAACGCACAUUGCGCCCCUUGGUAUCCCGAGGGGCAUGCCUGUUCGAGCGUCAUUUCACCACUCAAGCCUGGCUUGGUGUUGGGCGACGUCCUCUUUGGGGACGCGCCUCGAAACGCUCGGCGGCGUGGCACCGGCUUUAAGCGUAGCAGAAUCUUUCGCUUUGGAAGUCGGGGCCCCGUCUGCCGGAAGACCUGCUCGCAAGGUUGACCUCGGAUCAGGCAGGGAUACCCGCUGAACUUAAGCAUAUCAAUAAGCGGAGGA